rnacentral:rRNA from 1 species
GCAGUGGGGAAUAUUGGGCAAUGGGCGCAAGCCUGACCCAGCAACGCCGCGUGAAGGAAGAAGGCUUUCGGGUUGUAAACUUCUUUUGACAGGGAAGAGUAGAAGACGGUACCUGUCGAAUAAGCCACGGCUAACUACGUGCCAGCAGCCGCGGUAAUACGUAGGUGGCAAGCGUUGUCCGGAUUUACUGGGUGUAAAGGGCGUGUAGCCGGGUUGACAAGUCAGAUGUGAAAUCCUGCGGCUUAACCGCAGAACUGCAUUUGAAACUGUUGAUCUUGAGUACUGGAGAGGCAGACGGAAUUCCUAGUGUAGCGGUGAAAUGCGUAGAUAUUAGGAGGAACACCAGUGGCGAAGGCGGUCUGCUGGACAGCAACUGACGGUGAGGCGCGAAAGCGUGGGGAGCAAACAGGAUUAGAUACCCU